UGCGAUGGUUGUCGUCAGCUCGUGUCGUGAGAUGUUGGUUAAGUCCCGCAACGAGCGCAACCCCUAUUGUUAGUUGCCAUCAUUCAGUUAGGCACUCUAGCGAGACUGCCGGUAAUAAACCGGAGGAAGGUGGGGAUGACGUCAAAUCAUCAUGCCCCUUAUGACCUGGGCUACACACGUGCUACAAUGGUUGGUACAACGAGUUGCGAGUCGGUGACGGCGAGCUAAUCUCUUAAAGCCAAUCUCAGUUCGGAUUGUAGGCUGCAACUCGCCUACAUGAAGUCGGAAUCGCUAGUAAUCGCGGAUCAGCACGCCGCGGUGAAUACGUUCCCGGGCCUU
rnacentral:rRNA from 1 species